CGUUAGCGGCGGACGGGUGAGUAACACGUGGGUAACCUACCUAUAAGACUGGGAUAACUUCGGGAAACCGGAGCUAAUACCGGAUAAUAUUUCGAACCGCAUGGUUCGAUAGUGAAAGAUGGUUUUGCUAUCACUUAUAGAUGGACCUGCGCCGUAUUAGCUAGUUGGUAAGGUAACGGCUUACCAAGGCGACGAUACGUAGCCGACCUGAGAGGGUGAUCGGCUACACUGGAACUGAGACACGGUCCAGACUCCUACGGGAGGCAGCAGGG
rnacentral:rRNA from 1 species